rnacentral:pre_miRNA from 1 species
GGUGAAAGUGCCGGGUGCGAGGAUACUGGCCAAUGGAAACCUUAUCACACUGACUUGUAUUCUCGCUGCCCAGCAAUUUUGCC